AACCGCUCGUCACGAAACAACAGUUCAAAAUGUUGUUCUUUCAAUAUUCUGGCAGCACAUACAAAUGUGAACCCAUGUUAACUACAUACCGAAGCUAGAAAAGAUCGAUUUGAUUCAUCUCCGAUUGAUAGAAGUGAAAUAAUGACACAUCGUGAAAUAAUUUCUGCUUCUCUCUUCUGCUGCCUUCUUCUUAAGCAUCCAAAAAUGGAUACUACAAUGGAACACUCUGCAUCUGUAGUAUCUUCAGCAACUCUUCCAGUGCCAUUUCCUGCUAUUGAGAAUAUUUCAUGCUACCAUUCCCUAGCUAGCUGCGGCCCGAUGGCUUCUGAAGUUGUCAUCUACCUUCUGAACAACGGAUUCAAAGUUUGCGUACCUUCUGAACUCGUCUCAUGCAAGGAAAAAGGAAGAAGAUGGGAGUUCUUGUCAAUUUGGGAUCCGGUCGCACGACGGAACAACCGUAUAGUACGCAGCAGGUUCCACCCCCCUCGGAAGCGAAUCUUCGAUCAUGAGCCACGCCGACGCCGGCGGCUGCCCCGAAGGCGGGGCAGUAGACCACAUCAGCGGUCUGCCAGACCACCUCCUCCACGACGUCCUUAGCCGCCUCCCGGGCACCGCCGCCGCCGCCGCGCGCACCAGCAUCCUCUCCCGCCGCUGGCGCCGCGUCUGGACCCACCUCCCCGCGCUCUCCCUCUGCGAAAGGGCUACGUCCACGAGCUUCGACCUGAAGAUGCGCGUCCUGCGGUUCCCAGUGCUGCCCCAGCACGCCGCCGGCGUGUUCAAGGCGCUGGCCACUCUCAAGAUAUGCCUCGCCCGCAGGGACGCCCCCACCUUCCUUGCGUCGCCUCCUCCUACCAGGCCGGCCCACUCACCCAAAAGGCCCAUCAGGCACCAGCUGCCUGCCUCUCCCCCAAUCGGCCGCUCGCUCCCCCAAUCGGCGGAAACGAAAUCGAAUCGAAAUCCCCAACCCUAGCAGGCGAGCGGCGAGCCGGCGGCCGUCCGAGGGCCGAGGCCGACGGGAGGCGGCCGCGGGAGGGGUGAGGGGGCUGCCGUGGCCCGUGGCCCGUGGCCGCGGCCGGCGGCGGCACCGCGGCAGGCCGCAGGCCAGCAGCCACCCGCUGAGCCGCCGGCGGCCGGGCGGCCGGCGACAUCCCGUUCCUGCAUCUGUGCAUCACGGCGGUCGGCGGCGGGCAGCAUUCGGCAUUGGCAUCGGCAAAAGGACUACUGAACAGGGUGAGAUGGGAAUACCCAACUUUCAAAUCCUGGCUUCACCACUAUCGACGGCGUCCUCCGACGACACUACCACCACCAAUGUCUCUGACGAACACUUGAGUCCCCCGUCGUCGCCUUCCAUAUCCUUCGACUCUGUUUCCGAAUCCGAUGCCUCCACCUCCUCCUCAGUGGCCUCGGAUGGCUCCUCCGGGUCCGAACCCGUCGUUUCCAAGAAACCCCGCCUCCCCGUGCGCUCGUGGCUAGCCUCCGACGAGAUCGCGCUUCUCGAGGCCGUCUCGGAGCACCGCCAGAAGCACGGCCGACUGCCGUCGCCCAACCACCUCGCCGCGGCGCUCCGCAGCCGCCUUCGCGCGAAGGACCGCCUGAGCGCCGAUGAGAUCUCCAGGAGGCUGCGCGCACUCCGCUCCCGGUACGAUAAUGCUGUGCUCCGCAUGUCCCGCGGCACCAUCCCAGUGAAGGACGACGAUGUCACGAUCUACAAGCUCUCCAAGCUCAUCUGGGAGGGCACGCGCAAGGGAAAGAGGGAAAAGAAGACCCGUGCGGCCGACAUGCGCAAGGACCCAAGGGAGUUCGGCGAGUUGACAGGGCUGUACCCUUGCCUCUCAGCGGAGGUUGAGGCGAUUGACACAGGGAGCGGCGCUGCAGCCGCCGGGUUGCUGAAGAGGGCGUUUGAGCGCAUCGGCGAUGACACGGCGGCACGGCUGGAGGCGAAGGUGAAGAUGCAGCGGGUGGCAGAGGCCAGGGCGAGCGCAAAGCUUGACCAGCUGAGGACGAAUGUCGCCAAGGUGCUUCUCCAGUUGAUCGAAUGAAUGAAAGUGGACUGGUUGUCCUUCCCUUCUUCUCCCUUGGCGGCAACGGAGGCGACUGCGGAGACACCUCCUCCAAGCUGCAGUGUGCUGACAGCUUGGCGACCUCGAGUGACAGCUGUCCGACCUAGGCAGGCGGCAGUUGUGUUCCAAGCGCCUCCGAUGCUGGUCAUUGUGCUGGGGAUUCAGAUCCCGUGCACCUGGAACCAAGGAGUUGGGGCUUACGGCGUGGGAUUGAAGCUCCGCGAACCGGCGUGGUGCCUUCCUUGCUGUGAUGAUUUAAUCAUGGGUUGGAGCAGGGGAUUAAGGUACAUUGCUAAUUCGCAGCAGCACGGUGUUCCGCUGAAUCAAGGAAAUCUUCAACGGGCUCAUUCUUAGAUGUUCAUGAUGUGUCUCUUGCGUAAACACUCCACAACUACCAAGCUGCAAACAUUGGUAUGGAGCACUGGCAAUUUUGGCUUUUAUUUCAGAUCUCUACGAAGUUAUUGUUAAGCAAGUAUAGGUUGUUCUUACCAACAACUGUUGUAUGGUGUGGCGCAUGGAAAUGUGCCAUUUAGUAUUCCAGAAGAGCAAAAUCCAGUGACAAAUACUAAUGGUGGAGAUGCAAUUGGACCAGAUUCAGACAAUGCAAGUCCGUCUAUUGACACUGCUAGUAACGAAACCGAUGAACGGCACAUGGACAUUGGCUACCUGGAAAGUGAAGAAUGCAUGUCAGAUACUGAUGGAGAAUCUUACUGGGAUUGAAACAGAUGACUGGGAUGUAUUCUAUUCCACUAGUGAACUAGUGAAAGUUGGAGAAAAUAAAGGACCUGGACAAGUGAAUCAUGCGUGUAGUAAUGAUUCAGGUGUUGGCAAUGCUGUGGAAAAUAGUACCAUCAUUCCAAGGGGCGAAGAAAGUAACACGGGAGGAUGGAAAAAAAGGUCAGUACUUAUUCCAAGGGGCAAAGAAAGGAAGUUGGGUCCUCAACAACGAGGGCUAUCAAACAAUGAGAGAAGUUGUUUGCCAGAGACAGGGCUUCGACAAAAGGACCAAGAGCAAGACAAAAGGCUGUCACUGCAAGGCGAUGAUUAGGCUGCACCGUACAGAAGAUGAUGGUUGGUUCAUUUCAACAUAUGUGAAGGAGCACAACCAUGAGUUUUCAGAAACAGAUGGCAGAGAAACGGGAAUGGAAUUCACAUAAGAAGAUAGAGCAAACAACAAGGGACAUGGUCAAAUAUUUACAGAGUGCUAUGUUUGGAUUGGGCCAGCUAUUCAAUUUGCUUCCAUGAAUUUAUUUAUGUAUCUACUUUUAAGCUUUUGCUCGAAUUUUUGAGCGUGCAAGGACUGGCCAGCACUUGCUUUGGGUC